rnacentral:rRNA from 1 species
AGAGUUUGAUCCUGGCUCAGGACGAACGCUGGCGGCGUGCUUAACACAUGCAAGUCGAACGAUGAUGCUUGGUGCUUGCACUGGGUGGAUUAGUGGCGAACGGGUGAGUAAUACGUGAGUAACCUGCCCCUGUCUUUGGGAUAAGCCUGGGAAACUGGGUCUAAUACUGGAUAUUCUGCUUGAACCGCAUGGUUUUUGUUGGAAAGAUUUUUCGGAUGGGGAUGGGCUCACGGCCUAUCAGCUUGUUGGUGGGGUGAUGGCCUACCAAGGCGUCGACGGGUAGCCGGCCUGAGAGGGUGACCGGCCACAUUGGGACUGAGAUACGGCCCAGACUCCUACGGGAGGCAGCAGUGGGGAAUAUUGCACAAUGGACGCAAGUCUGACGCAGCGACGCCGCGUGGGGGAUGAAGGCUUUCGGGUUGUAAACUCCUUUCAGUACAGAAGAAGCGAAAGUGACGGUAUGUGCAGAAGAAGCACCGGCUAACUACGUGCCAGCAGCCGCGGUAAUACGUAGGGUGCGAGCGUUGUCCGGAAUUAUUGGGCGUAAAGAGCUCGUAGGCGGUUUGUUGCGCCUGCUGUGAAAACCUGGGGCUUAACUUCGGGAUUGCAGUGGGUACGGGCAGACUAGAGUGUGGUAGGGGUAAUUGGAAUUCCUGGUGUAGCGGUGGAAUGCGCAGAUAUCAGGAGGAACACCGAUGGCGAAGGCAGGUUACUGGGCCACCACUGACGCUGAGGAGCGAAAGCGUGGGUAGCGAACAGGAUUAGAUACCCUGGUAGUCCACGCCGUAAACGUUGGGCACUAGGUGUGGGGCCUUUCCCUGGGUUCUGCGCCGUACCUAACGCAUUAAGUGCCCCCGCUGGGGAGUACGGGCCCAAGGGUAACAACUUAAAGAAUUGGACGGGGGCCCGCCAAAACCGGCGGAACCUGGCGAAUUAAUUUCCAAUGCACCCCCAAAAAACCUUACCAGGGGUUUGACAUAACCCCGGAAAUCAGCCAAAAAAUGGGGG